rnacentral:lncRNA from 1 species
GAAGACGGCGGCUAGGUCGUGAGCCAAUGGACGGAGGAGCUUGGACAUGGAACCAGGUGCGAGUAAGACGACCAGGAAGCGGCGGCAGCGGUGCUCCACAGAGCCAAAGGGCUAAGGGAGAAGAGAGUUCUUGGAGGCGGAGGUGACAGACUGUUCUCUCUUCCAGGACCAUGUGGGAUCCCCGUUCAGGCCAGCCAGGUGUCUACCCUGGUGCAGCCUAUCCUCCCAACCCUUCUUACCCGGCCGGUGUCAACCCUGCGCACCCUCCGCCUGUGAAUCCUGCCUUUCCUCCAGGUCCCAUUCCUCCUUGUUCCUACCCGGCUCCCCCACCAGGGAUCCCAGGGCAACCUGCCUACCCACCAGGCCAUCCUGUUCAGCCCCCCUAUCCCGGGCAUCCACCUGGCUACCCUGUCCCACCUGGUGGCCUUCAUCCUCCUCCCCCUCCUGGUAUGCCUGGAGGAAUGGGGGUCAAUCCUCUACUGCCUGGGGGGAUGCACCCGAUGGAUAAGAAGGCGGCCAAAAAGAUGAAGAAGAAGAUGAAGAAGGCCCACAAGCUGCACAAGCCUCACAAGCAUCAUGGGAAGCAUUCCUCCUCCUCUUCCAGCAGCAGUGACUCCGACUGAGGCCGAUCCCUACCUCCCAGCUGCGUCCUCUUUCCACAAAUGCUGAUUCUCGCAAUGCUCUUCUGACUGAAUGAUCACCAGAUUAAAAAAAUACAAAACAACAACACUACUUGCUGGCUACUCGUCCCACCUUGCAGGAUUUGCACCCCAUGCUGACUUUAUCCUGAUGGCCUGGGUUGCCUCCAGCUGAGCCUGAUGGAAACCUGGUUCCUGUUGAUUAAACUUAAGAAAUUAUAGUGGGAGGCAGCUAUUGGGCUUAAAAGGACAGUGCACAUGUAAACACAGGCGCCAGUACAGCAUCCUUUAGUCUUCUGAAAUCCAGAAGUCCAGUCAAAUGAUUGCUUUAAAGCUGAAGGCGCGCUUGCAGUGUGAUGGAUCAAAGUUGUCCCCCAAGUGCUUUCAGAAAUUAUUCUUCCAACCCCGCCCCAGUGAUUUUUUUUCUGUGCUGCUCAAGGAAAUGACAAAUAGAAGGAGAAUCUGCUCUCCAUUUCAACUGCGUUUGGAAAGUGUUAAUUGCUCAUUUAAUGUAAGGUAGAAAGGUUAAACUGGCAGAAUAAAAUAGACUUGAUCAGGGACA